UCAUGGUCAGUCAGCCAACAUCACUUCAAACUUUAUUCCAACAAACACAGGUCUCCAUCAGUCAAGCACACUGAUGCUUUUUUUUCUUGGUAUAAUGGCUGGCCGGUCGUUUCCAUCAUUCAUAGGCUUCUUCUAUUUAAAUACUCUCUCCUGAAUUUGAUCACUAUAUGAACCAUGGCAACCACAUCUAGAAUUAUGUUCCUAUUUUUGGAGUGAUAUGAAACUUUCAAAACACCAGGAAUCACUAGAAAUAAAGGAUCAAUUUAGAGCCAGCUCUUAACUCCGUAUCAAGAAGAUGAAGUCUGAUUAAGCAGUUGACUAAUUGUGUGCGCAGUCUGGCCAGUUGCCCGCAGCAUUCUACCUGCUGCGCUGGGGAAGACUGAGCCUCCAUGGAGAAAGAGACUCCAUUGUACAGAACACUCUCCCAUAUGCAAGCUCCGAGAGGCUUCAUGCCAGGCACAGGACACAGAAUAUGGUGAUAAUUAAGUGUCCAAGAUGGAUGGAGCACCGCGGAAAUUUGCUGAAGGCUGCUAGCCAGGAGACUCAAGAAGGAAUUGUUAAAAAGGAGAACUAUCCAAACAUUGUCCUCUCCCUUUGGAGCCUAAACAGGAAAGAAAACUCUUAGGUCUCCCUGUUGGUGGAACCCAUCCGAGCACUGGAGCCUUGUCAAUAUCGUGGCUGGAAGUUGGUUCCUGGAAGACAGAGAAGGAUGGAGAAGAUGGCAAUCUGGAAGAGCAAGAGCUCCGAUUCUCUUGCAAGGUACUGAAAUUCAUCCGGCCGAACUUCCUUGUCUACAAGACAGUGGACUAACUAUCGCAAAGCAAAGAGUGGUACCCAUGGAGAGGCACUGUCCAGGUGCCCAUUCUAGGAAGGACCUGAUACCCAGAGGAGGUUCAGCAGACAGAUGCCAGCUCUCAGCACCUUCAGGGUCUGCUCAGGUGCGGAGAACUGCCUUCUCAGGCAAUCAGCAUAUGUCAAAGGAACACACGUGAAUCAGUUCUAAUGAAAUAGAUGAACCUAGAGCCUAUUAUACAGAGUGAGCUAUGUAAAAGAGAGCCAAAACUUGACUGUGCAAGAAUUCUUUCCAAGUAUAGCUGAAGUCAAUGCAGUUUGAAUGCAUGAAGUGGUUAAAGACAAGAACAGCAGGCAUACUGUACAGGUGCCAUUCAAUCACAAUGAAUAAAACCAAUGUUACGUAGACUCUACCUGUUGAAGUAGCAUCAGGUAUUUGAGCCUUGCUGUAUCCAUUGGCAGAAUCAAGGGAAGAGAUUAAAUAAUUUUGAAGACAAAACAGCUCUUUAAGUCUGUGACCUGAAUUACCCUGACAUUCUUGCUUUGUUCCUGUGCCUCGGCAAAU